rnacentral:rRNA from 1 species
CCUACGGGAGGCAGCAGUGAGGAAUAUUGGUCAAUGGACGAGAGUCUGAACCAGCCAAGUAGCGUGAAGGAUGACUGCCCUAUGGGUUGUAAACUUCUUUUAUAUGGGAAUAAUACGUUCCACGUGUGGGAUUUUGUAUGUACCAUAUGAAUAAGGAUCGGCUAACUCCGGGCCAGCAGCCGCGGUAAUACGGAGGAUCCGAGCGUUAUCAGGCAUUCUUGGGUUUAAAGGGAGCGUAGGUGGAUUGUUAAGUCAGUUGUGAAAGUUUGCGGCUGAACCGUAAAAUUGCAGUUGAAACUGGCAGUCUUGAGUACAGUAGAGGUGGGCGGAAGUCGGGGGGUAGCGGUGAAAUGCUUAGAUAUCACGAAGAACUCCGAGUGCGAAGGCAGUUCACUGGACUGCAAAUGACACUGACGCUCGAAAGUGUGGGUAUCAAACAGGAUUAGAUACCCCAGUAGUCC